CGGAGGGUCCGAGCGUUAUCCGGAAUCAUUGGGUUUAAAGGGUGCGCAGGCGGUAAAGUAAGUCAGUGGUGAAAUCCUGCAGCUCAACUGCAGAACUGCCAUUGAUACUGCUAUACUUGAAUAUAGUCGAAGUGGGCGGAAUGUGACAUGUAGCGGUGAAAUGCUUAGAUAUGUCACAGAACACCGAUAGCGAAGGCAGCUCACUAGACUAAAAUUGACGCUCAUGCACGAAAGCGUGGGGAGCGAACAGGAUUAGAUACCCUGGUAGUCCACGCUGUAAACUAUGAUUACUCGUUCUCGGCGAUAUACGGUCGGGACUAAGCGAAAGUGAUAAGUAAUCCACCUGGGGAGUACGGUCGCAAGAUUG
rnacentral:rRNA from 1 species